GCCGGGAGCAGUGGCGCAUGCCUGUAAUCCCAGCGACUCAGGAGGCUGAGGUAGGAGGAACACAAGUUCAAAGCCAGCCUCGGCAACUUAGCAAGACUUUAAGCAACUCAGUGAGACCCUGUCUCUA
rnacentral:sRNA from 1 species